ensembl:lncRNA
AUUUUUAUGGGUACCGGCACAUGUUGGGGAAGAGGGAAAUGAGGAAGCUGAUCAAAUGGCCAAGAAGGCAUUAAAACAAACUGAUAUAGAUAUAAACAUAUCACUUAGUAAAGCAGAAAUGAAAGGAAUAAUCAGAGGGGCUAUGAUUAGGAGAUGGCAAAAGAUGUGUGAUAGGGAUGUAAAGGGUCGGCAUCUAUACAACAUUCAAAAACAAGAUGGAAAUGGAAGGAAAUAAUUUGGAAGUAGGAAGGAGGACACAAUAAUAUCUAGACUCCGUAUUGGUCACACAGCUCUCAUCAAUCAUUGUUUAUUAUUGUAAACAUGAAUCAGGUAUUUGUGAUAAUUGUGAUAUUCCAGAGACUGUGGAACAUAUCCUAUUUCACUGUGAAAGAGAAAGAAUGCGAUUAAUAGAAGAAUUAAGUUUGUUGAAUAUUGAAUGUAUAACAGUUAAGACAAUACUAGAGUAUGCUCCAGCACAGUAUAAAGUCUAUAAUGCAAUUAUAAAUUAUUUGAAAGCAAUAGGUUUAAUAAAUAGAAUUUGAAGAUGACAUAGUGAAGCAUAUAAAGUAAUUGUAUCCUUGUGUUAGGUUUUUUUUUAAUUUAUUUUUUUAAUAUGUUGUGACCUAUAUAUGCAUGCUCCACACUCUAGUCCAGCAGGUGGCGGAAAUGCACCUUUUAAGUGGGUUUGCCAACCGCCAUUAAAAGGAAAAGAAGAAGAAGAAGAUGAUUCCUGAACACAACAGGAAGUGCAGGGGACUUUUAAUUAGAAUUUUUUAACACUGUAAAGCUGCUUUGACACAAUAUGUAUUGUAUAAAGCACUAUAGAAAUAAAAGUGACUUGACUUGACAUGAAUGUGAAUGGAGGAAACACAGGUCAGGGGAAACAUUUUGGAUUAAUGAGGUUAAAAAAACAACAACUUGUUAUGAACAGUUCCUUCCUCCUGCAUGAACAACAGAUUUACAGUCAUUUUUGUGGAAUAAUCGGAAGAUGGAAUCAUUUGGAUUGCAGGAGAAGAGACACAAAGACUAUUUGUGAUGAGGAGGGCGGGGCAGAGGCCGGUGGAGUAAAUGCUAAUGUGUGACACCUGCACCAAUCACCGGUCUUGAGUACCACGGAGGAGCUCCAGAAGGAUAAAAGGUGGAGCGACGACAGUGCAAGAAGAGAGAGGACCAGAGGUCUCAUUUAUAAACAUUGCGUACGCACCAAAUUGGCAUAGAAACAUGUGUAAACAAUUUUCCAUGCACAUAUCGUGAUUUAUAAAAAAUAAACUUGCCGUAAAUAUGUACGCA